rnacentral:antisense_RNA from 1 species
CUUCACCGAACCGAGCCACAACGGCCGGUCCGCCGACCGCCCCUGGCCGUAGGUGGCCAGCAGCGCCUGCGCCUC